rfam:Methanoculleus marisnigri MPJ_scaffold_6925, whole genome shotgun sequence.
AACGGAAUGGCGAGAUGCCUAUCAGUGGAUGGCUCGGUUCGAGUGCCGAAGAAGGGCGUGCCAAGCUGCGAUAAGCUCCGGGAAGACGCAUGGAGUCUACGAUCCGGAGAUUCCCUAAUGAGACUUCUUAACACUUCGGUGUUGAUCCGUCAGGAUCGGGAACCCCCCGAAUUGAAACAUCUUAGUAGGGGGAGGAAAAGAAAUCAACCGAGAUGUCGUUAGUAGAGGCGAUCGAACACGACAGAGUUCAAACUGAAUCCCCUCACGGGGAGAUGUGGUGUAGUAAGCCUACCGUCCGGAUGCCAACGCGAAACGGAAGUCCUCUGGAACGAGGGACCACAGAGGGUGAUAGUCCCGUACGUAUAAGCCGCGGUGUCCUGGUAGUGUCUUGAGUACCGCGGGUCGGAAUUCUCGCGGGAAUCUGGGGGUCAUCAACCUCCAAAACUAAAUACAACUCGAAACCGAUAGCGUAUUAGUAGCGUGAGCGAAGGCUGAAAAGUAACCCUGGAAAGGUGGUUAAAAGUGCCUGAAACUGAUAGGUGAUAGUGAGUUACGGCGCCAAAGGAUCUGCCGCGUGAAGGAACCCGUCGCGAGGCGGUAGUACGGGCGUGGUUGCCAGUGUCGUAACGUACGUUUUGAAGAACGGGCCAGAGAGUUUAUUCUGUAGGCGAAGGUUAACCCAAAAGGGGAGCCGAAGGGAAACCAACAGGUCCGUAGCCUUCGGGCAUGGGACGACGUAUUAAAAGUGCGUGGAGUCUGCAGGAUAAGACCCGAAGCCUAGCGAUCUAUGCGUGGGCAGGUUGAAGCGUGGCGAAAGCUGCGUGGAGGACCGCAGGCGGUUUUGAUAUGCAAAUCAUUCGCGUGACCUGCGUAUAGGAGUGAAAGAUUAAUCGAGCUGGGCAUCAGCUGGUUCCUCUCGAAACAUGCCGUAGCAUGACCUGGCCUGAGGUAGACGGUGAGGUAGAGCACUGAUUGGGGGAGCUGGGGGAGAAAUCCCUCACCCCCCUGUCAAACUCCAAAUUCCCCGUCGCCGAAGAAGGCUGGCAGUCCGCAUUACGGGGUAAGCUUGUAAUGCGUAAGGGAGACAACCCAGACCGUGGUUAAUGUCCCUCAAUGUAGGCUAAGUGUCAACACUGAAAGGCGUCCCAGGCCAAAGACAACUGGAAGGUGAGCUCAGAAGCAGCUAUCCUUUAAAAAGUGCGUAACAGCUUACCAGUCGAGGUUUGGGGCACUGAAAAUGGACGGGGCUAAAGCCUACUACAGAUACCACGGACCACGCGCAAGCGUGAUGGCGUAGAGAGGCGUGCUGCCUGGGCAGAAGCAGGGGUGUGAGCUCCUGUGGACCGGGUAGUAUUGAGAAUUCUGGCAUUAGUAGAAGCAAAGUUGGGUGAGAAUCCCAACCGCCGAAGGGGCUAGGUUUCCUCGGCAAUGUUCGUCAGCCGAGGGUUAGUCGGUCCUAAGAUGUGUCGCAAUUCGAGCACGUCAACAGGGAAACAGGUUAAUAUUCCUGUACCAUGCGUCUGUAGCAGUUUACUGCCCUGACGCUUCGGGAUAUGCCGAGCAGGGUCGUCGCCCUGUCCAAGCGUUCAAGUUCGUGGAGUACCGCCAUGGUGAGAAGCGAAUGAAGGCGUGAUAGAGCAAUUCGGCAAACUCCUGGAGCCCGUGAAAAGGGAGACGCAUGUCCGUACCGAGAUCUGACACAGGUGCCCCUAGCUGAAGAAGCUAAGGCGUGUCGGUUUUAAUCGUGUUAAGGGAACUCGGCAAAUUGGCCCCGUAACUUCGGGAUAAGGGGUGCCUGCCUGGUGAUCAGGCAGGUCGCAGUGACCAGGGGGCUCUAACUGUCUAAUAACAACAUAGGUGACUGCAACUCGGAAACGAUUAGUAUAGUCACUGAUUCCUGCCCAGUGCGAGUAUCUGAACACCGGGUUCAACCGGACGAAGGACUCGUAAACGGCGGGGGUAACUAUGACCCUCUUAAGGUAGCGUAGUACCUUGUCGCUUAAUUGGCGACUUGCAUGAAUGGAUUAAUGAGAGCCCUACUGUCCCUAACACGAAACCGUUGAACAUUUUAUCCUAGUGCAGAGACUAGGGACUCCAGAUGGGAAGUGAAGACCCCGUGGAGCUUUAC